rnacentral:rRNA from 1 species
CAAUAGCGUAUAUUUAAGUUGCUGCAGUUAAAAAGCUCGUAGUUGGAUUUCGGGUGGGAAUGGCCGGUCCGCCGUUUCGGUGUGCACUUGCUACGCCCACCUUGCUGCCGGGGACGUGCUCUUGAGUUCACGCUCGGGACACGGAGUCGGCGAGGUUACUUUGAGUAAAUUAGAGUGUUCAAAGCAGGCCUACGAUCUGAAUACAUUAGCAUGGAAUAACACGAUAGGACUCUGGCCUAUCUUGUUGGUCUGUAGGACCGGAGUAAUGAUUAAGAGGGACAGUCGGGGGCAUUCGUAUUUCAUUGUCAGAGGUGAAAUUCUUGGAUUUAUGAAAGACGAACUACUGCGAAAGCAUUUGCCAAGGAUGUUUUCAUUAA